UACGUAGGGUGCAAGCGUUAAUCGGAAUUACUGGGCGUAAAGCGUGCGCAGGCGGCUUUGCAAGACAGAUGUGAAAUCCCCGGGCUCAACCUAGGAACUGCGUCUGAUACUGGAUGGCUUGAAUCCGGGAGAGGGAUGCAGAAUUCCAGGUGUAGCGGUGAAAUGCGUAGAUAUCUGGAGGAAUACCGGUGGCGAAGGCGGCAUCCUGGACCGGCAUUGACGCUGAGGAGCGAAAGCUAGGGGAGCAAACGGG
rnacentral:rRNA from 1 species